AGACGAAAUUUUCGCUUCUUUAUAUACCUUUACUGUACCCACUGGUAACCUCAAUUAGCCAAUCGCUGACCCGGAAUGACCCUACGCCACUUCCGGUAUAAACAAAUCAGGGAAAGUGCACGCAGAGAAGUUUUCUAAUAGAAAAUCAUUACUAACCAUACAAAAUGGGAUUUUAUCUACCAAAAUACGAUAAGUACAAGUAGCUAUUACGUUAUUAAGUUGAUUUAAACAAUGACAAUACAAUGUUCACAGACGAAACGUGAUAAUUGAAUUCAAACAUGCUAUGGAGAUCGAGACCGGGUCGAAAUACAGUGAACCCGAUUCUAAAACAAUAUACGAUGGACAGCAUAUAACUUAUAUCUUUUACAACCUUUUACCGAUUAUUUAAUGACAAACAAUCAUGUACAUAUAAAUAUGCUGAUAACAACUGUAUACGCUGCGAGUGAUCAAUGAAAUAUACAAAAGUAACGAAAUGAAUUUCGUAACAUAGCCCCCUCCUGAAGAAAACAUUCGUCCCGAAUGCAACUGGACUUGGGUCUACUGAAAACAUCACUUGCAGUUAUAGAAGUUGUAACCUUCCCAAUACUAAAUCAGCUGGGAGAGAAACAUGCCUACCAAACAUCAUCUCACAUGGACUUACGCCAGUUGACUCGUGCUGGGCUGACCUAUAAGCUAACAUGAGCAAGGGUGCCUUUUGUUUCGACCUUGUUUCAACAACUGAACACUUUUGUGUAGAUUCUUCAGAUAUGGGAGACAUGGCUGCUGAGAUACCUUCUGUGGGAGCAGGGACUUUCCCGUUAUCCGCAAUGGAUCCAGCGGGACUGAAAGUUUGCUGACCUAUGGGUCUGAAAGUGACUUCCCCGGACUCUUCUAAAUCUGACAUUUCUGUGACUUUUUUUUUUUUUUUUAAGUAUUUUAUUGUACGCUAUGAAAUUUCAAUGAUUGUAAAAUUUUGAAUUUAAUAAA